CCUGGUGAUUAUCGGGACAGCUGCCAUCAUCUCAAACACUGAAAUCUGCACAUUGACUCUAUGGUAGUGCACACACAGAGCUUCUUUUUUACUGGGGUUGUUAGCAGCACAGAAGGGAGAAUGAAGGUAAUUCACUGAAGGAUGUUUGGUCACUCUGAAAAUCUUGAGACUUUUUCUCAGUUGCAACUCCACUUACCUCAGUAGUUACACCAGAGAUAAUCUUGGUCUGCUGUUUGUCCUGUUGGUUUUGGGAAGCAUUAGAAGCCUGCUGUGUAUCUGUGGUACCCAUAGUCAGAAAAAACAAGGGCAAAAGUUAAUGAAGAAGGAGCAAUUGCAAAAAUUUCUAUGAUCCAAUUUCAUGGCUGCAGAUUUCCUCACAAACAGAAAGAAUUAGUGGAAUCCCCUACCCCACACAGGCCUACAGAAUUGGUUUUGCUAAAUAAAAAUGUGGGAAACACCUUCCUUCUUCUGUCUGAAGGGAGGGCUGUCAUGAUACUGCAUGCAGCCUCUCCCAGGGUUAGUACAGAUUUGUUCUGCUCCCAGUGUAACCAAAGCACCAAAUAAUCAGGGGAUGAGAAGUUUCUGCCCCUGGUUGUGGUUUGAAUGCAAAAGCAUGUUAGAGUAGGUUUGGUGUGGAAGCUGAAGGCAUCUCCUAGCCUUGCAAACAUUUCACUACAUACUUCUCAUCGCUAGAAGCCAAUCCAUGCUCUUUAUUUGUUGUUCUUUUCCCAUUUCUAUAUCAAUUCCAUCAAAUCAUCAGAUUGUCUCAGUGACAAGAAAAUGACUCAGACAUUGCAAAAUAAAGAGCUCAUCGGCGGAAGCCAUAAAUCUGCACUUGAUGACUGGCCACCAUUUCAAUCUUAAUGAGUCAGAAUGGUCUGAAGACCAUUUUGAGUGAUCUGUACCAUUAUCAAGAUGUUUAAAAGUUUGUCCCAGCAGUAUUUAAUAAUUAUGUCUUCCAACUGCUAUCUCAGACCAGAGAUUGCUAGCCAGGAGGCAAUUCUUAAUGAUUAAAAGGCUCAGGAAAGAAAAAAGAAAAAAGUCUCUUCAGG